rnacentral:lncRNA from 1 species
GGCUGGCAUUAGAAUUUUUGUUCAUAUCUCCAUUCAAGCCAACAUUUUGAAUGUCUUACUUUUCUCAUGAUGCCUUCAUGUUCAUUGUUUCGCUGGACGUAACAUCCACAGUUGAGUAUGAUAAGUACUUACUCUAUGUCCCAUAUCUCCUCAUUGAAAAAGCUUCAAUUUCCAAACUCAUUUUUUUUCAUCACAUUGCCUGACUUCUCCCCCAAACUGUUUAAGUUGCUUUUCUAGAGUUGAUUAGAGGCAUCUAGUAGUACCAUAUAGGAGAUGGCACAACCUUGGAAGUUGUCCUUGAUUUGCGCUGGUCCUUUCGACACCCAUAGACUAAAACAUGACGGCUCAUCUUGUUUGAAUACCCUCCUUCCAAAUCUAUGCUUCAAAGAGAAGGAAAUCUCUCUUCAUGUACUCAGCACCUGCACAGAAGAUCACUUUUGCACCAGCAGAAUGAUGUGAAUCCAGAUUGUUAUUAGUCCAUAAAAAAAAAGCCUCCAACUUUCCUUUCAUCCUAUCUCAUGUAGCAAUUUCACCUCUUUCAUGUGCUUCUUUGCAUUCUAAGUGCCAGUCCACCAUGUCUGCUUCCCACUUGAGAUGCUGAUUUAUGAGCCCACCAUGCCUUUCAACUCAAUCAAAAGAUGCCAUGCAUACUCCUAUCUGCAAGAGAACCAAUCUAAGAAAAUGUUGGGGUACAUCUUCCAUGGAACAUGCAAUUUUCAAAUUCAACCCCUUUUAGCUUGACACAUAUCAUUAAUUCAUAAUCAUGGAUUUCAAUUAACCACAAGGAAGUCCUUGGUAACAUGCACAUAAGGAUAUAUGAUGCCACGUUUUUGUCAUUCUAAAUAUAUAAUAUGUGCGUAUUGCCUUUACCUUCAAAACCAAUAUUUUGCUGUUCAUGGUCAACAAAACACCAUCAUUGCAGUCCCCAUAAACAAACACAACAGUAUGAUGCGAAAAUUUCUUUAUUGUUUAUGAAUUGAUGAACAGCUAGCUCAUUGUUGUGCAUGACUUAUAAAUUUUGCCAGGUGCUGUCCUUAGAAUGAAAUAUCAGCAUGUUUCUGUUAAUCUGUUUUGAUUGAUCAACUUGAAUGUUGGGCAACAGAGUUCUUUUUCCUUCUAAAUUAAUCAAAAAGAAUGCACUUUUGAAUUCAGCAGGUGAAUUUUGCCUUUUAUCAUGAGAGAGAGAGAGGACCCAUUUAAUCAUUUUUGUAUUCUUGCUGAUUUCUUUCUGCAUUUUUGGAAGUAGUGCAGUCAAAAUGUUGAAAUCUCUCACCAUGCUUCUUAUCACAAAUUGUUUGGUCACCAUGUUAAAGAGGGUAUUAGGUGCUUGCAAUGAUGGAUCUUGCUUCGUAGAUGCCAAACUGAUGUAGAGUGAUUGGUUUUCAUAUUUACACUAGUGGAUAAUUUGAUUUCUCUAGACUUUUGAUGAAAAACUACAAAAAAUCCUAGACACCACCGAAGGUUUUUUCUGCAAACAAAAGGGAUAAUUAGAAAAAAGAAAAAUAUAAGGAAAAGCUUGAGGCAGAAUAUAUUUGCAUUGUUGUUCAUUUGAUAUCUUUUUUCUCUUCAAUAUAUAGUAUUACAUUCUAUGUACAUUACCCAAAGCCUUAGGUAGUAGGGUGCUCCCAAAUAACCUACAAGAAAAAAAGAUAGAAAUGGGAAUUAAUAGAAACAUUUUGUGGCUUGUGUUUAGAAGAAGAGAGGGAAAGAUGUUGGGGCUAUUCAUGGGGUUCCCCAGUGGCCAAUCCCCUAGUAAAUUUCCACCUUCUCUGGUUGCUUUUAGGAGCCCUAAAUAUUCAUGUAACUGGCCAGUCAUUUUGUCUUGCCUAAGUGGGAAACCAUCACUCUAAUACUGGAAACCAGAUCACAUCCCAUGGUUCCCAAAUCAACUUUAUUCCCGUGCCUCCAUCAAAAUUGGAUCACAAUUUGUAAUAUUUGUUUCCUAACCCCUUAAAAUAAAAGAAAACUUGAUUCUGACCCAUCUUAAUCCAGAAGCUUUAGCAAAACAGCUAACAUGCUCAAAGAAUAUCAUGUAGUACAUGUUUGAAAAAUGUCAUCUAUCUGAGUGGACAAUAACGUGUUAUUUUUUAACUCGUAAGCCUAAAAAAAUAAUCUAGGUAAUUUUAAGGGAGGGAAUCACUGCAUCAUGAAUUACAUUGUAAAUGCACAACUUAAAUUAUGUUGAUAUUAUAAAUCUUUGAUGUUGAUUUAUAUGUAUCAAGUAUUGACAGUUGAAGACUGUAUUACAAAACAAAUUAGGUAAAAAUUCAAUUGAACCCAACUUUAUCCAACCAUGCUUUUAUGAUGUGCAUAAUUCAUUCCAUGGGUAUUUUAUUUUGUUGUUGAGAGAACUAGAUUUUUAGAAUGCAAAAUAAUUUCUAGUGAUGUUUAAAUGGAAAAUUUGUACUAAUGUUGAACUUGUGAGGAUGGAUGAUAGACUUAAGUAUAUAGGUUACACUCAACCAAUAAAAUUUCUUGCUUGUUCAGGCUGACCAGUUAUUUGCAGUAGACAUGACUUUUCUAGUAUUUUAUUGGCCAGUGAUGGCAACCUUACUCUUAGUUUAAUAUUUGAGAUAUCUUUUAGGUAGAUUAUAUCUGGAAGUGGUCUUAAUUUUACCUCAUUCAAUUGCUAGCAAAACAUGUUCUAUCCACUCUAGCUAUCAAUUACAUCUCAAGCCUUGAUCCGAAGAAAAAACUUAUGAUCUAUUAUGCUAUGCAAUUAUGAUUUUUCAAUCCUUGUUAAUGUUCUUGUUGUGUUGGAAACUUAACUUCUUUUAAUGCUUCUGAGAUUUGCAAUCCCUAUAAUUUCUCUACAUAAUUCCAUGUGGAUCCAAAUCUUCCAUGUGAAGUUAAUUAAUAUGACGAAUAUCUUUAGUAAUUGAUCUAAUGACGUGGACAGAAAAUAAAUCAAAAAUGAUUGCUAAAUUUUGGGUUCAAAAAUGAUCUUACCUUUAUACUAGGAGGCAGACUGAGAAGGGGGAUAUGCCUACUCUGGGACCACCACUCUCUGGUACCCAUGCUUCCCUGCCCUUGUGCAAGGAUCCUCCCUUUUUGGCACAGUUUAUAAAGCAUGGCAAGGGGACUAACAGUCAUGCUGGACCAAUUAAACUUUGCCACCAUUUUGACAAUCUGGUCUGCAUUAGACAAAAUCUGGUUGUGCAAAAUGGAGUUCUUUGCUUCUUGGAUAGUUAUUUCUGUUGGAUUCCUGUAGCUAACCUUAAACUUGAUGAUGCCACCCACAAACAGUCCUUGUCAUGCUAUUGCUCUGCUCCUUGUGUUUGGCCAAAUAAAUCUUUACUGUUGUUGAUGAUGCAUGAUCUAUACCUUCUAUAGAUAAUUUUUUUUUGAAAUUGGCUUAUGGAUUUACCAGCUGAUCUGAAAUUAUUGGGACAAGGCUUGGUUAUGAUUACG